UCCGAAUUGGUGUAGUGGUUAACAUUUGUCGCUCUCACUCGGUUGUACCGACAGGCCCGGGGUUCGAUUCCCCGAUUCGGAA